UACGGGGGGGGCAAGCGUUGUUCGGAAUUACUGGGCGUAAAGCGUGCGCAGGCGGCUUUGCAAGACAGAUGUGAAAUCCCCGGGCUCAACCUGGGAACUGCAUUUGUGACUGCAUGGCUAGAGUGCGGCAGAGGGGGAUGGAAUUCCGCGUGUAGCAGUGAGAUGCGUAGAUAUGCGGAGGAACACCGAUGGCGAAGGCAAUCCCCUGGGCCUGCACUGACGCUCAUGCACGAAAGCGUGGGGAGCAAACAGG
rnacentral:rRNA from 1 species